AGCCACAUGGCAUAAUUGUUUUAGUGUUGGACUGCUACUCUGGAGACCAGGGUUCGAUUCCCAGCUUGGCCA